rnacentral:tRNA from 1 species
UAAAUUGAUGCCUGUUGGUUUAGGUAAAUAGCUGUUAACUAUUUUUUGUGGGAUCGAGGCCCGCCAGUUUU